CCACACUGCAGCAGCUUGCGAAGAGUACAACACUUGCAACCACUGGAAAGUGACCGGCAGACAUUCAGUCCCAUCUGCAAUGCGUGCCACCGAUGAAUCUUCAAAAAGGUGGCUGGCGCGCCUCGGUUAAUUACGGUGAAUGUAUGGAAAGACGACUCACCCCGUUGAUGCGUCGGCAGUGCGUCAGUGAAGUUUUCCCAGCUAAACGUCUAAAAUUCGAUGCAGCGCCAGAAUGGUCCUUGCAGACAAGAAGAUGCAGCAGAUGAAAUAAGGAAGCGAUACAAAGAUACAUCUCUUGUUAUUUUCAUGGAACAGCAGAAACUUUCCCAGCAGGAGAACAACUUUUUGUCUUUUGGUACAAGCCGACGGACAGCUGAACACAGUAAUUAUGGAAACCAUGCUGUUAUUGUCAAACAGCCUUUCAGUGCUGAUCAUAAAACACAGAUGUGUGCACUUCUAUGAAAUAAAAAUAGUACCAAAAAAACCAUCAGUGAAGAGAAAAGGUCUACAAUAAACACCUUACAAUAACAAAACAUGGAGUAUAACAUGAAAAUAAAGCUACAGUAUUGCAAAAUGGACUUACAUUUCAACAAACAAACAAACAAACAUUUUUGUGAACACAUGGUCAUUAUUUGGUACAGAAUUAACCAAAUAAGGUGGUGCCAUCAUAAAGUAUGAGUGCAAUCUCCAUGUAGCCCUCUGGAUUUAGUAUUUCUGUGGUUUCUGUAAUGCAAUCAAAGCAAAUUUCAGUCUGAUUCCCUCUACAAGACCAUUACCUACUCGUUUCCUCCUGCAUCCUUGUCCUUAAUUUCAGUGGGGCACUGAACUGUAACUUUUUGUUGCAUGUGAAAUUAUACAUCACAUUAAAGAAAAGUGCUGCAAGAUGCAUCUCUUUUAUUGAUAUGUCAUGACUAUUUCAAAUUUGUGCCAGUAAGGAUAGCAUUAAUUUCACUACAGUGAAUUUACUUCUAUUUCUUCAUCUGUUUUACUUCAAUCAGCAAUCCAGUUUAUGUGUCUGAUGUAAUUUAUUUGUAAUUAUAGGUUUUCUUUGUAAGUGUAAGUGACAGCAGUAAUUAUUAUACAUACCUAAUAAAGGCCUGUAAACAGAGAUUAAUCUUCAGUUGUGUCUUGUGUCUGAAUUUCUGCUAAUUUAUAACUAAAUCACAACCGUUGUUAAACUUUCACUUCCUUUAUAAUCUUAUUAGCAUAUUUAGUCUGUCAUGUUAACAUUGUUAUCUCAUUUUUAAUUACAUUUUUAUUUUUUUCUUAAGGGCUUCGUUCGUACUUUACUUUUGAUUUUAGGCUGAGGUUGUCACUCAUUAGCAUACCAGAUAUGUUCCAUCGGGUUUGGAUGAGGUGAGUGCAGUGGCCAAGACAUCAAUGUGAGUUCACUAACAUGCACCUCAAACCACUGUAGCAUGAUUCUGGCCUUGUAUCACAGACAGUUAUCCUGCUGGAAGAUGCUAUCUACAUCGCGGAAGACAUAAAGCAUGAAGUGGUGCAGGUGCUCGACAGUAAUUUUCACCUAAUCCACACCUGUCUUAGUGCCUUUGAUUACUAACACAGGUCCUAUGGAAGCUCCAGAGAAUGUCCCCCAUAGCAUAAUACUGUUCUCACUGGCCUAUGUCUGUGGCAUGGUGCACGUUUUGACUCGAUAUUUGCCUGUAUUAUGGCCUAUCUGGACACAACCAUUGACCUGUUCUAACAAGAAAUACGAGUUAUUUCCUGUUGGGCAUGUGGAGCACCUUGAUGCAGGUUCUGCAGCUGUAUUAUUGGUUUUGAAUAAAUUCCAGUAUCAGUCACACUUUUCUCUUUAUUUUAAAAACCACGACCAGUUUUGCCCCCCGAGGUUGUUAUCCAAUAGCAUAUGUCACGUGCCCUGAGAGACUACCAUUUGACCUGUGUUCUCUCAGGAUGCCUCACAUAUACCACUGGAUAAUGGCCUUGGAGCUGAAACUGGUUGUAGUUUUUAAAAUGAAAAUAUAACAUGACUUAUCUGACCAGGUGACACAUUUCCACUGACCCACAGUCCAAUUUCUAUGAUCCUGUGCCCACUGCAGUCACAAUUGACAAUGUUAUUCGGUCAAUGUGGUAACACAUAGGGGUGUUCUGCUGUGGAGUCCCAUGGUCAACAAUGUGUGCUGAACAAUGUGCUCUGAAACACUUGAGCCUGGACCAGUGUUAUAUUCUGACUUCAUAUCUGUCACAGAGUGCUGCCUAUCCUGCUUUACAGACAUGAUAAGCCUCUGAUGACCAUAUUAAUUGAUGAGGUGUGG